GCCGUGGUAGCUCAGUUGGUGAGAGCGUCGGAUUCAUAACCCGGAGGUCGGCGGUUCGAAUCCGCCCCACGGUA
rnacentral:tRNA from 2 species